rnacentral:lncRNA from 1 species
UUCCAGACAGUAGCUUCUAUUGAAACAUCACUUCUCAUUUGCUGUUUGGACAAUGGUGAUGGAACUGCUGCUUUAUUGCCCACGGAGAAGCGAAGUGAAGAGUCUAAAGUGGGUCUUGCAGUUACACUGGACAAAAGAAGUUUGAAACUGAGGCUUGGUCCUGAAGAACACAUAGAGAAGGCUGACAGAUUAUAUAUAUUCACAGCUUUGGCUUAAAGGUUGCUGGUUGACCAAUAAGUAAUACAAGAAGAAAUGGUCUUUUCUGGAAUUGUCCUUCUUUCCAGUCAACAGAACACUGCAAACGCUGAGCCUGAGCCUUGUGUACUUUCGCUCUGUCUCUUGGACCUUUCACCAUGUGAAUGAG